GCUAUGCUUUCAUUGUCGAUGUAUAUACCCCUAGACAACCUUGCUUUAUAUACAAAAUGUAACUAUCCAUUCAACCUUUAAAAGCUUAUUAAUAUUAUAUCUGUGUGGUACACAAAGAGGGGGGUGUGAGUUAGGUAAUCCCACCCUGCAUAUGGAAUAAAGGCAGAGGUAGAGGAUUUGGUCAAAGGGUCUAACGUUUGUAGAGGUAACAACUUCAGCAUUGGUGGAACACA